rnacentral:rRNA from 1 species
CAGUCGCCACGGGAAUACGAAGGGGGCUAGCGUUGCUCGGAAUGACUGGGCGUAAAGGGCGCGUAGGCGGCGAUCAAAGUCAGGCGUGAAAUUCCUGGGCUCAACCUGGGGGCUGCGCUUGAUACUUGGUUGCUUGAGUGGGGAAGAGGGUCGUGGAAUUCCCAGUGUAGAGGUGAAAUUCGUAGAUAUUGGGAAGAACACCGGUGGCGAAGGCGGCGACCUGGUCCAUUACUGACGCUGAGGCGCGAAAGCGUGGGGAGCAAACAGGAUUAGAUACCCCCGUAGUCCCUGUCUCUUAUAA